CUUUUUUUUUUUUUUUUUUUUUUUUCCUUUAAGACGUUAUUUAUUUACUUGACACAGAGAAAGAGAGAACAAAAGCAAGGGGAAUGGCAGGCAGAGGGAGAGGGAGAAGCAGGAUCCCUACUGAGCAGGGAGCCCCAACACAGGGCUCAAUCCCAGGGUCCUGAGAUCAUGACCUGAGCCAAAGGCAGACGCUUAAUUAACUGAGCCACCCAGGCAACCCCAACUUCAUUUCUUUUUAAAGAGCAGUUAGGUCUUCAGAAAACUUGAUCAGAAAGUGCAGAGACUUCCCACAUAACCCUUCUGCCUGGACACCAUCUAUUACAUAUAUAUAAAAUUUUUAAUUUUUAUUUUUUAAGUAAGUUCUACAUCCAACAUGGGGCUUAAACUCAUGACCCCAAGAUCAAGAGUCACAUCCUCUACUGACUGAGCCAGCCAGGCACCUUCAUUUAUCCUAUAUAUCUUGUGUUACUAUGGUACAUUUGCUACUAUGAAGAGCCAACUUUGAGGUAUGAAAGUGCAUAGUUUGCAUUAGGGUUGACUCUAUGUCACACUAUCUCUGGGCUUUGUUUUUUUUUUUUAAUUUUUAUUUAUUUAUUUAUUUAUGAUAGUCACACACACAGAGAGAGAAGAGAGAGAGGCAGAGACAUAGGCAGAGGGAGAAGCAGGCUCCAUGCACCGGGAGCCCGACGUGGGAUUCGAUCCCAGGUCUCCAGGAUCGUGCCCUGGGUCAAAGGCAGGCGCCAAACUGCUGUGCCACCCAGGGAUCCCUAUGUCUGGGCUUUGGAUAAUGUAAAAUGGCAUGUCUCCAUCAUUUCUGUAUCACAGAAUACUUUCACUGUCCUACAAAUCUCUUGUGUUUCACUAGUCAUUCAUUCAUCCCUCCUGCCUGCCCCCAAAUCCCUGGCAACCAAAGAUCUUUUUGGUGUCUUAUAUUUUUAGCUUCCCCACAGUGCCAGCUUGGAAUCAUAUAGUAUGUAGCCUUGUCAUAUUGGCUUUUUUAACUUAGCAAUAAUUUUCAGGUUAUUCCAUGUCUUCAUGGCUUGAUAACCUAAUUUCUUUUCAUUACUGAACAAUAUUUCAUCCUAUAAAUGAACCAGUGAUGGUUUAUUCCUUUGCCUAUUAAAAAAUAUCUUGGAUUCUCUCCUUUUUUUCCCCACCAUCUGGUGUGGGCAGUUGACUGUUCUUCACCCAUGUCUUCUCACAAGACUUUCAGGAUCAAUUGAUUCCUGGCCAAGAAACAAAAGCAGAAUCUUCUAUUCCCCAGCGGAUUCAGAGAAAGCCUAGUAAUAAAAUGAGGCACAACUCCAAAAGGAGGCACUGGGGAAGAACCCAGCUGGGUCUGUAAGAGAACUCAUGUAAGAUGGCACACAUAUUUAUGCAACA
rnacentral:lncRNA from 1 species